GGCGAAGUAGCUCAGUUGGUUAGAGCAACGGAUUCAUACUCCGUGUGUCAGUGGUUCGAAUCCACUUUUCGUCA
rfam:Micromonas sp. RCC299 mitochondrion, complete genome.